rnacentral:rRNA from 1 species
AUUGAACGCUGGCGGCAUGCUUUACACAUGCAAGUCGAACGGUAACAGGCCGCAAGGUGCUGACGAGUGGCGAACGGGUGAGUAAUGCAUCGGAACGUGCCCAGUCGUGGGGGAUAACGCAGCGAAAGCUGUGCUAAUACCGCAUACGAUCUGUGGAUGAAAGCGGGGGACCGUAAGGCCUCGCGCGAUUGGAGCGGCCGAUGUCAGAUUAGGUAGUUGGUGGGGUACAGGCUCACCAAGCCGACGAUCUGUAGCUGGUCUGAGAGGACGACCAGCCACACUGGGACUGAGACACGGCCCAGACUCCUACGGGAGGCAGCAGUGGGGAAUUUUGGACAAUGGGCGCAAGCCUGAUCCAGCAAUGCCGCGUGCAGGAAGAAGGCCUUCGGGUUGUAAACUGCUUUUGUACGGAGCGAAAAGGCUCUCUCUAAUACAGGGGGUUCAUGACGGUACCGUAAGAAUAAGCACCGGCUAACUACGUGCCAGCCGCCGCGGUAAAAC